rnacentral:rRNA from 2 species
GUCUGCGUGGAGCCGACCUUGAAAUACCACCCUUUAAUGUUUGAUGUUCUAACGUGGACCCGUGAUCCGGGUUGCGGACAGUGUCUGGUGGGUAGUUUGACUGGGGCGGUCUCCUCCUAAAGAGUAACGGAGGAGCACGAAGGUUGGCUAAUCCUGGUCGGACAUCAGGAGGUUAGUGCAAUGGCAUAAGCCAGCUUGACUGCGAGCGUGACGGCGCGAGCAGGUGCGAAAGCAGGUCAUAGUGAUCCGGUGGUUCUGAAUGGAAGGGCCAUCGCUCAACGGAUAAAAGGUACUCCGGGGAUAACAGGCUGAUACCGCCCAAGAGUUCAUAUCGACGGCGGUGUUUGGCACCUCGAUGUCGGCUCAUCACAUCCUGGGGCUGAAGUAGGUCCCAAGGGUAUGGCUGUUCGCCAUUUAAAGUGGUACGCGAGCUGGGUUUAGAACGUCGUGAGACAGUUCGGUCCCUAUCUGCCGUGGGCGCUGGAGAACUGAGGGGGGCUGCUCCUAGUACGAGAGGACCGGAGUGGACGCAUCACUGGUGUUCGGGUUGUCAUGCCAAUGGCACUGCCCGGUAGCUAAAUGCGGAAGAGAUAAGUGCUGAAAGCAUCUAAGCACGAAACUUGCCCCGAGAUGAGUUCUCCCUGAGACUUAGAGUCUCCUGAAGGAACGUUGAAGACGACGACGUUGAUAGGCCGGGUGUGUAAGCGCAGCGAUGCGUUGAGCUAACCGGUACUAAUGAACCGUGAGGCUUAACCUUACAACGCCGAAG